AGGAUUAACGCUGGCGGCGUGCAUGAGACAUGCAAGUCGAACGGGUGACUCGGGCUUGCUCGAGUCGCUAGUGGCGGACGGCUGAGUAACGCGUAGGUGACUUGCCCUGAAGUGGGGAAUAACUGCCCGAAAGGGUGGCUAAUACCGCAUGUGGUGGUGCGUUCAUUCGCACCAGUAAAGCCGCAAGGCGCUUCAGGAGAGGCCUGCGUACCGAUUAGCUCGUUGGUGGGGUAACGGCUCACCAAGGCGACGAUCGGUAGGUGGUCUGAGAGGACGAUCACCCAGACUGGGACUGAGACACGGCCCAGACU
rnacentral:rRNA from 1 species